rnacentral:rRNA from 1 species
ACCUGACGCAGCGACGCCGCGUGGGGGAUGACGGCCUUCGGGUUGUAAACCUCUUUCAGCAGGGACGAAGCGCAAGUGACGGUACCCGCAGAAGAAGCACCGGCCAACUACGUGCCAGCAGCCGCGGUAAUACGUAGGGUGCAAGCGUUGUCCGGAAUUAUUGGGCGUAAAGAGCUCGUAGGCGGUUUGUUGCGUCGGCUGUGAAAUCCCGAGGCUCAACCUCGGGUCUGCAGUCGAUACGAGCAAACUAGAGUGUUGCAGGGGAGACUGGAAUUCCUGGUGUAGCGGUGAAAUGCGCAGAUAUCAGGAGGAACACCGGUGGCGAAGGCGGGUCUCUGGGCAACAACUGACGCUGAGGAGCGAAAGCGUGGGGAGCGAACAGGAUUAGAUACCCUGGUAGUCCACGCCGUAAACGUUGGGCGCUAGGUGUGGGGCUCAUUCCACGAGUUCCGUGCCGCAGCUAACGCAUUAAGCGCCCCGCCUGGGGAGUACGGCCGCAAGGCUA